GACGAACGCUGGCGGCGUGCUUAACACAUGCAAGUCGAACGGAAAGUCCCUGAUAUUGUGCGGUGCUCGAGUGGCGAUUGUGUGAGUGACACGUGCGUAUCCUGAACUCGACUUUAGGAUAACUUCUAGUAACUGGUGCUAAUACCGGACAGCUGCUCAUGCUGCAUGGUGGGGGAUGGAUAGAUUCGGCGGUUGGGGAUGAACUGGCGGCUUAUCAGCUUGUUGGGUGGGUAGAGGCUUACGAAGACAUAGAAGGGCAGCAGGCCUGAGAGGGUGACCGGCCACAUUGGGACUGAGAUACGGCACAGACUAGUACGGGAGGCAGCAGUGGGGAAUAGUGCACUAUGGGCUGAAGCCUGAUGCAGCAACGCCGCGUGCGGGAUGACGGCCUUCGGGUUGUAAACCGCUUUCGCCUGUGACGAAGCGUGAGUGACGGUAAUGGGUAAAGAAGCACCGGCUAACUACGUG
rnacentral:rRNA from 1 species